UGAUUUUGCUACUGCCACUUACCUGUUCUGCACUUUUUUCUUGCAGCUCCUUUCGUUCAAUCCUGAGCCAACUGAAGUCAGCCUUCUGCUACAACACACAGCCCUCCAGGACCAUUCCAAAGCUGCAAUCCCAGUAUGGAAAAGUCUAAUGCAGCAAAAUGCCAUCCUGCACUUUCUUACAAAAGAAUCUGAGUGAGAACAUCAACGACAGGAGGAGAGCGAGGCCAAAACUGGAAGGGACAGCUGUUUGAAAUUUCCUCUUGGGCUCUCGCUGCUGGCACUGGUCCAGGCUGAGCCCUGGCUUGGCGCAAUGCUGCCAAAAUGUGACGUGUGUGGACCCUUCGAGGCCAAACAUGACGACGGAGAGCGGCCUGUCAGAUCAACACAGUGGACCACAUUACUACCACUGUGUGUGUGUGUGUCUUUUUUUUUUGCUCAUCAGGUGAUGUUGCACACACACUUGUGUAAAACUACCACAAAGCACUACGCUGUGAAAAAAAAAAAAAAUCAAGAAAACUGAAUCUUUAUGCUUUUUAAAAAACUACAACAAAUGAAGAGUGAUAGUGUUCUGACUAAGCGGUCACAGGGAGUGUGAGAAGAGACCUGUGUACAUGUGUGUGCGUGUGGGAAAGAGUGAUAAGAUAAGAGAUGGUGAUUUAAGGGGGAGUGCAUGCAUGUGAUGAGAAAAAGUGCAUGUGUGUGAGAUGGUGUUUUCUGGGAAUAACUUUAAAAAAUAAAUUUAAAAAAUCCCCGGGGGCUAAUCAAAUCCAGCUGUACGUCAAAAAUGGGCUGCGGGACAGACUUUGAACACCUCUGCCAUACAGAAUACAUAUGUAGCAUAUGAGCAUAUUUUUUCAAAAUGGUUCAUUUGUUUUCUUUGCUGAUUGGUUGGCUCUCCAUUAUAACUAGCCCAAUGAUGUACAUUAGUGUACUUAGACAAUUUAUUAGGUGCUCCAGAAAAAUUAAAUACUGUUGAAGGAAAACUCAGAAUAAACCAGAACAUCUGAUAAACAAACGAUAAAGUUGCAUGACUGGGCGACAUGUAUCACGGUUUUCCUGUCAGAAGACUGUUGCUUGAUUCCCAUUUGCAACAAAAGAUCAAAAAGUUUGCAUU